rnacentral:rRNA from 1 species
GACGAACGCUGGCGGCGUGCUUAACACAUGCAAGUCGAACGGAAAGGCCCUGCCUUUGUGGGGUGCUCGAGUGGCGAACGGGUGAGUAACACGUGAGUAACCUGCCCUUGACUUUGGGAUAACUUCAGGAAACUGGGGCUAAUACCGGAUAGGAGCUCCUGCUGCAUGGUGGGGGUUGGAAAGUUUCGGCGGUUGGGGAUGGACUCGCGGCUUAUCAGCUUGUUGGUGGGGUAGUGGCUUACCAAGGCUUUGACGGGUAGCCGGCCUGAGAGGGUGACCGGCCACAUUGGGACUGAGAUACGGCCCAGACUCCUACGGGAGGCAGCAGUGGGGAAUAUUGCACAAUGGGCGGAAGCCUGAUGCAGCAACGCCGCGUGCGGGAUGACGGCCUUCGGGUUGUAAACCGCUUUCGCCUGUGACGAAGCGCGAGUGACGGUAAUGGGUAAAGAAGCACCGGCUAACUACGUG